UAUCAUCAUAAGUAAAAACCAUGGAUGCAUUGAAAAUUUAAGUUUUUCUGAAAGCUGUGUACAGUUUUUUGGAAAGACGUAUGCAGUUCUGUGCAGGUCUGUGAUGGAUGUAAAAAAGUGUCUUUGUUGUGACACUGAAUGUCCUUUGACUAUAUAAGGUUUCCUGUUUAUAGAUAGCAGUACUGCUGAAAGGUCAUGCAUGUAGCAGAUGUGAUGGCGUCCUCUUGCACGCACAUGCUGAUUCUACACGUUCUACUCUACGGCUUUGUCUUCACGAGCUCCUCCGCAGAGAUGGAACGUUUACCCCAAAGCCACCAUAUAAUGGAAGAUUAGACUCAAACAAAAACUUGUCCAACUUCACUUUGUCCAUCCACAAUGUGACAGUGAGAGACUCCGGUGUUUACUGGUGUACAUUUAACAAAGAAGAAACAGAAAGUUUAAGCAAGGAGAGGUAUCUGUUAGUAGAUAAAUGUUUUUAUCAUCAUAAGUAAAAACCAUGGGUGCAUUGAAAAUGUAAGUUUUUCUGAAAGCUGUGUACAAUUUUUUGGAAAGACGUAUGCAGUUCUGUGCAGGUCUGUGAUGGAUGUAAAAAAGUGUCUUUGUUGUGACACUGAAUGUCCUUUGACUAUAUAAGGUUUCCUGUUUAUAGAUAGCAGUACUGCUGAAAGGUCAUGCAUGUAGCAGAUGUGAUGGCGUCCUCUUGCACACACAUGCUGAUUCUACACGUUCUACUCUACGGCUUUGUCUUCACGAGCUCCUCCGCAGACAUUCUCACAAAGCAGCUUUACAAAUGUCUGAGUCCAAGCCCCCGGUGAGCAGACCAAGGGUGACAAUGGCAAGGAAAAACUCCCUAGAGCAUGAGGAGGAAACCUGGAGAUGAACCAAGACUCAAAGGUGGGGGCCAUCCUCCUCUGGCUGACAAUAGUCACCACAAUAUGUGUGGAAUGUGGCAGAUGUGAUGGCGUCCUCUUGCACACAUGCUGAUUCUACACGUUAACAGACUGAUGCUGGAAACUCAGAAGGUCCAGUCAUAAAAUCCAAGAAUGUUUUGGAUGAGAAAUCUGAACCCUCUGUGUUACCACUCAUGAUAAACAGCUUGUCGUGUAAUUACAAUGAUAAUAUUAAACAAUAUACUAUAUAUAUAAUAUUUAACACUUUUACUGUAAUUUCACAAGCUUGUUUGUUUUUAGCAUUAAUUCUAAUAACAGAAUAACUGUAGACACCACAGGGGUAACAAUUGUACUGUUGUUGAUUUAAGUACAAUUUUAUUCAAGUUCAUCAGUUCUCACUGAUAUGUAUUUGACAUAAAUGUAUUUAAAUCUUCCCUUUCUCUUUCAGAAGAGAGGACCUUGUUUGUGUCUGUUGGUGAGGUGGCUACUAUACAGUGUGGCCCCAGACAUGAGCCACAGGUGUCCUAUUUGAUGUUUCUAUUCUACAGUGAGGGAACGUUUACCCCAUUUUUACUAGAUGGAUCGUUUACCCCAAAGCCACCAUAUAAUGGAAGAUUAGACUCAAAACAAAAACUUGUCCAACUUCACUUUGUCCAUCCACAAUGUGACAGUGAGAGACUCCGGUGUAUACUGGUGUACAUUUAACAACGAGGAAACAGAAAGUUUAAGCAAGGAGACGUAUCUGUUAGUAGUGUCAGGUAAGCAUCCUCCCCCUACAUGUAUUUACAACCAGAGGUCCUCCUCCAGAUUACAUUAAUAGAAAGUUGUGUGUUUGAACAAAUCUCUGUGACAGACAAUUUUCUUCAUGCAGGAAAAGAACAAUAUACAAAUAAACCCAGAGAGGGAAAAGUCUGAGCUAAUAGUUAUCUAGAUUCUUAGUGCUUUUUGAAGAGAUUUGAAGAAAAAAAAAAAGUUAAUUUAUUUAUUGAUAAUGGUUCUGUUCCAAAAUCACAGUGUUUAUUGUCAGAUCUAUGCUAAGACUUUUAGAAAACAGACUCUGAAAUGAAGGUGUUUCUUAUUAUUCUGGGAAAUGUUAUUCACUGGGUUCUGUUGUAAAUGUUUGAAUAUAGAGUGCAUCUUUAAGCUAAUGUGAAGAUCAGGUGUACAUAUUUUACUACAGCAUAUAAAGAAGGUGCUGAUUUUUUUUAAGCAUAAAAUAUACUACUCACACUAUGUAUGAGAUAAAACCUUUUUAAAAACCUGUUAAAUGAAGCAAGGUGGCUACUGUGAAGGCUGAGAGGGCAUAGUGCUGCUUUUGUGUAUAUACAUAAACCUGCUGGCGAGAACAUGGUUCUACCCAUAGGAGUGUCACAAGGGGAAAUGAACAGUACAAAACUAUUCACUUCUGUGCAGCACUUUAUCUAUUAUCAGUGCAUUGUCCACUAUUCGUCCACUGCCGGCCAGCCUUGGGUCUGCAGACGGGUCUUUGGCCAGUGUACUCAGAACACGCAAGUGACCUCUUGUGACGUGCCAAGUAGAGUUCUAAACAUUGCCUGGGAAAGAGCUCCCCCUAUUGACAGAAUAAGGAUAAUUACGUUUAUCCAUCAUAUUUUACCAUGUACCACUUUCCAGUUUACAUGCUAAUGCAGCUGUACGAGUAGCACUCGUUUAGAUAGAGUUAAUCUUUUUGUUCUGAAACUCUGGAAACCCAAGGCAGGAGCGCUACGUGUGGUGGGUAUAUUUGUUAAUCCUGAAAUGGUGUACU